UGGUUGGCAGAAGCUUGCAGCAGCCUGUACACACUAGGCUGUAGGAGUCUGCAGAAUUACAGGGAGUACAGCCCAGCUCCAAGCAGCUGGGAGUGAUUACAGGCUACCUAGGAAGACUGGGCCAACUGAUUCAAACAGUUAGCUGGCCCACAGGAACCUUAAAGCCUCCUGGGAAAAGGAGUCUGAGAAGAAGCUAAAGAAAUGGGGAGGAGAGAGGAGCCAGGCUAGUGGUGGCAGAACUGAGCUAGGCUACUUCUUGGGCUCUGGGGAGAGAUCCAAGACUGUGAGGUUGGAGGCAGCUGCACCAGGAAAGGACUGGAGCCAAGCCAGGCAGAAGAAGACUGCAGUGUGGAGGAAGCAGCAGUGAGCUAAAGGCCCCUCCUCAGGGCUAGAAGAGACCCAGGACUUCAUUUCAUACUUUCAUAGAUGUCCAAAAACUAACAAGAAGAAACGAAAUGAGGAAAAAACCCUGCCUCAUCAAUUUGCAUCUCUCAAGCAGGGAAAGAAACAAGAGAAUGGGUCUCAUGGAUCAACCUUCUCUUUACGAAGAACUGGAUGUGGUCCGAAGGGGAAUCUAACAGUUCCUCGGCAUUCAGCCGAGACUAUCUGGAAUAUCCAACUUGGGACUCCGCUGCCAUUCAUACCACUCUGCUGCAGGGAUAACCCUUUGAAAUUGAUUUUUUAGGUAGCUGCUACAGUGAAGCAGGCCUAGUAGCAAGGCCCAAGAGAGUCACAUUGUCAGGAACCUGGAAGGGAAUGAAGUAGGAGAGAUACUUCUUUCCAUCGCAGUUUUCCCUACUCUCACUUCCUAUUUGGAAGCCCAAGCAGCAGGUAAUGCAAGUCAAUCAUUGAAGCCAUAGUAAUCCCUCCAGGUAACAACUAUAUAGCUCUCAUUCCAGUUUAUGUUGGUAUCCCUACAAGAAGAUGCCAUGUCACAGCCUAUAAUAAAAACCACCAAAACUGAUGAGACCCCCAACCCAUUUUUAUCUACUUGAACCACUAGUUUUAAAGUGCAGUGUUCCAAAAGGCAAUACCAAAUGACAUCUUGUUGAGGGUUAACAACAUUUACUAGCCAUAAAUUUGAUUGAUUCAUACCUAGCUUUCAUUCUUAAAUCUGGUCCAACAUUAAGACUAAAUGGAUAUCAAAAAUUGGAAUAGGCAAAAAGAGAAGUGUCAAUCAUUGUUUUCCUUAUUGCCAUAUUUUACCCAUGCAGUCUUCAAAGAAAAGAAGAACUUUAAUUGUGUUAAUAAUUAAAGAGGCCUGUAGCAGACAGCUUGGAUUUGCUUUGGAGAAUAACAGUAUACUUAUAGUUACAGUGCAAUAUUUUUGCAACCUGCAGGGUCUUAAUUUCAAGAUUAAGAUAAUAAAUGUAGUAAAUCACAAAUAGAAUGAGAAUGAGAGUCAAGUUAAUUAUAUGAUUCAGUGAAAAGCUAUAGAGACGGUGCUUUGAGAAUUAGCAUCUGUCAAUCAACCGUUCUAGUAUCAAUUAUACAUAUAUUUCUCACCUAAAAAAUUGCAACAUGAAACCUAAAUGCAACUUUUAAAUGCCUGAAUCUAAAAUUGGAAACCAAAAUCAAAUAAUUCUGCUCCUCUACAAGAUCUAUUCUGAAAUGUCUAUAAUACGGGUACCAUACAAUACUGUAUGCUUAAGACAUACAUUGUCAUCGUGAUGUAAAACCAGUGACAGACAAUGUGAUGUGCUCUGUAUAGCAAUCCUAAUUUUGGGAAUGACAUCCUUACCUCAGUUAAUCUAUAGGAGUGUGUGACAGGGUGAGAAGUCCACCCUGUCAAGCGACAUGAAAAGAACAGAGAACA